GUCCCGGUAGUGCAACGGAUAGUGCUUUGGGCUUUUAAUCCAAAACUCGUGGUUUUGAAUUCCACCUGGAAUG